rnacentral:rRNA from 1 species
GAUGAACGCUGGCGGCGUGCCUAACACAUGCAAGUCGAGCGUGAUGCUCUGGAUUGAAGCUUCGGCUGAUUGAAAGAGUUGAAAGCGGCGGACGGGUGAGUAACGCGUAGGCAACCUGCCCCUUACAGAGGGAUAGCCACUGGAAACGGUGAUUAAUACCUCAUAAUGCGAGAGAACCUCCUGGCUCUUUCGCCAAAGAUUUAUCUGUAAGGGAUGGGCCUGCGUCUGAUUAGCUAGUUGGUGAGGUAGCGGCCCACCAAGGCAACGAUCAGUAGCCGACCUGAGAGGGUAAUCGGACACAUUGGAACUGAGACACGGUCCAAACUCCUACGGGAGGCAGCAGUAGGGAAUAUUGCACAAUGGGCGCUAGCCUGAUGCAGCAACGCCGCGUGAACGAAGAAGGUCUUCGGAUUGUAAAGUUCUGUCCUUGGGGAAGAAACAAAUGCCGGUACCCUUGGAGGAAGCCCCGGCUAACUAUGUGCCAGCCGCCGCCGUAACAC